GACGAACGCUGGCGGCGUGCUUAACACAUGCAAGUCGAACGGAAAGGCCCUGCGUUUGUGGCGUGCUCGAUUGGCGAACGGGGGAGUAACACGUGAGUAACCUGCCCUUGUCUUUGGGAUAACUUCAGGAAACUGGGGCUAAUAUCGGAUAGGAGCUCCUGCUGCAUGGUGGGGGUUGGUAAGUUUCGGCUGUUGUGGAUGGACUGGCGGCUUAUGAGCUGGUUUGUGGGGUAGUGGCAUACCAAGGCUUUGACGGGUAGCCGGCCUGGGAGGGUGACCGGCGACCUUGGGCCUGAGAUACGGCCCAGACUCGUAUGGGCGGCAGAAGUGGGGAAUAUUGCACAGUGGGCGGAAGCCUGAUGCAGCAACGCCGCGUGCGGGAUGACGGCCUUCGGGUUGUAAACCGCUGUCGCCUGUGACGAAGCGUGCGUGACGGUACUGGGUAAAGAAGCCCCGGCUAACUACGUG
rnacentral:rRNA from 1 species